CUUCCCAGCAACCAAAGAUGCGUCAACUAUGUCUGUAGCUCUUGAGGGUCUGAGCAGGCCAGUGAUGUCUUUGACUUUCAUCAUGGCCGUGUAUGCCUUGGCACUGCCUCCUGCAAAGGCUUGUGUGGGAAGAUGGCUCAGUAAAGGCAGAGGGUGGGGGAAGAAACCCCAGAACAUCCGAACCCCAGGACAGCUGGUCCACCCCAGGUUGCUGAGCCCUGCCCAGACUCAGUGGCUCAGCCACUAACCUCACUGCUGGGGUCUAGCUACUCAGCCAGACUCUGCCUCAGUUCUCUGUCUGUAAAACUGAAAGUAGAAACACCUUCCCCGCAUGGCAAAUGCUGUAAGUGUUAUUUGAAACCUGAGUACGUAGGGAAGAGAGAACAGAAGACGGGAAACCUUCCUACCGGCUGCCGAGCUGGGGUGAGCAGGACCCUGACAUUACAAUUUCCUCACCUUUAAAACUGGAGUAAAACCAUCCACUUUAUGGACUGUGAAGAUGGAAGGAAAAGCUUGAACAUGUUGCGGGUCCAAACAAGUGUGCGAUGACUGUGGCAACGAAAUGACCAGGAGACAGGGCACUCUGCACAGAACAGGUAUGAAAUGGCCAGAUUGUUGAAGCCUAACACCUUCCCCAGCCUGGAUGAAAAGGAAACCUUCCUCAACAUGUACGUCCAGGGAGCAGCCCUCCCAGCACGAAUUCACAAGGAAUCGAUUUUAAUUGAGUUCCGCUUCCAGGACCUCCACUUGGGAGAAGCAAAUUCGGUGCCUCAGGUUUGCAUCAUCUGCCAACCAGAAGUGCUGACACCUGUCAGCGUGCCUGAAGCUCCCCCCUGGGGCUGCCCCCCCACCUUCCUUCUCCGAAGUGUAUGUCCACACCCAGACCCCAGAGAGCCUGGGAGGGGAGAAGGCUGGAGUGAGAGUUGCCAUUCCUGAAUGGGUCACCAGCUCUACAUGCGAGAGACGUGAGAGAUUUCUGCAACAAGGUCAAAG
ensembl:lncRNA